ACUAAUAACACCAACUCAUAUAUGUUAAAUAUUUAUUACUCUGUCAUUUCAAAGUAAUUAUUAAAUAUAUAGAGUGUGUAUUAAAACCAGUUCAAGAUUAAAGCAAUAUAUAACGUAUCAUGUUAGUAUUUUAAAUUUUUUUCUCUUCCUAUGCUAUGAUUUCUUUAAGAUUCUAGAUCUACAGAGCAAGCUUUUAUGCAGAACCAUGAUAAGUGUCAUGGGGAUGACAUCCUUGCUGGAACACUGACUCCUCCAGGAAGUAGAGCUCAGCUAAGCAAGAGGCACUGGACAACUCCCACAGUCUUUUUGAUAGCAUUCUUGACUUCUUGGUUCCUAAGGCAGUAGAUGAAGGGAUUUAACAUGGGUGCGAGGACUGCAUACACAGCUGAGAUUAGUUUGUUGGAAUUAAAUGAUGCAAUAGCUCUGGGCCGAACAUACAUGAAAAUCAUGGCUGUGUAAUAAAUUAUGACUACAGUGAGGUGGGAUGCACAGGUGGAGAAGGCUUUCUUCCUCCCUUGGCUGGAGGGUAUAUGCAGAAUAGUGGAGACAAUGUAGACAUAGGAAAAGACAGUGGUGGUAAGAGGGAAGACAAGAAUGACAAUAGCUAAGGCAAAGUCCACUAACUCAGCUGUGGACAUGUCUUUGCAGGCCAGUUUAAGGAUUGGUGAGAUGUCACAGAAAAAGUGGUUCAUGACAUUGGAACCACAAAAGGUGACAUUUGAAAUGAAAUAGACCUUGAUCAUGGUGAUCAUGAAACCAGUCAUAUAGGAGAAAGCCACCAGCUGCACACAAUAACCUGUGGUCAUGAUGACUGAAUAUUGGAGAGGGUGGCAGAUAGCCACAUAACGGUCAUAGGCCAUGGCUGCCAGAAGCACACACUCUGUGCAGGCUAGUGAGAUAAAGAAGUAGAGCUGGGUCAUGCAACCUGUGAAGGAAAUGUGCCGUCUACGCAGGAGAAAUCCAUCUAGCAUCUUGGGGACUGUGACGGAGACAUACCAGACCUCCAGGAAGGACAAGCUACUCAGGAAAUAGUACAUGGGCUUAUGGAGGGAGCCAGUGACCCAAACAGUGAGCAUGAUGACAAGAUUCUCCACUACCACCAGCAGAUAGACCACAAGGAAGAGGAAGAAGAGCAGGACUUGAAGCCAUGGGGCAGUGGGGAAGCCCACCAGGAUGAACUCGCUGACCAGAGUGAUGUUUUCCUCCAGCAUGACUAAGAGCCCUGAGAGGAAUGAUGCGUGCUGCCAUUUUCCCAAGUCCCUCCUCAUCUUUCUUGAGCUUCUUUCAAGGAUCAACCAAUCUCUCUUGGUAACUCCAACUACUCACCAUGAUCCAUUUGCUUUCUCCUGAGAAUGGAAAAUCCUUCAUACGUUUGUACGCAUCAUGGGAAGCAAAUUGAUAUGCAGAUUUUUAUACUUCCUGGAGAUCCAAGUCUGGUCUCUUCUUAGACUGUGUGGUAGGUAUUGCAGGACUAAGACAAGAAGACUUGAGCCAGGGAAGAUGAGUAUAUUUAACACUCACCUGUUUUGCCCAUGUCUUUUUCCCAGGAGGCUCAUUUAUACCUGGUCUGUCCUGGCUCUAGGGAAAUGCUCUGUGCACUGACAAACUAUGUCCAGCUGACAAGGAAGAUGUAUCUUCAUCCUCUUAUCAAUUCCUUUUUAUACCUGGAUCAUGUUUAUCUAUACUUGUGGGUAUGAUAUGGUCAUAUCCCUUUACUCCUGUAUAUAAGUUGAAGGAACAUCAAAUUUACUCAGAAAUCAGGAUAAGAAAUCUAAGUGGGUUAAUAAGGUAAUAGAGAUGUUAAUUUGUUUAUUCUUUAUAGAAAAUGUUUUCUGCAUUUAUUGAGCUCUUAUUAUGUACAGGGCCCUGUGCUAUACAUCAUUUGGAAUAAACAUUUUUAGAUCAUGGUCUCUACCCUCUGGGAAUCUAUAGUUUUGUAAGUAAAAUAAGAAGUAUAUGCUAUAAUGAGGGUAUAAUGUGACACGACCUAUACAAGAUGCAGAAACAAAGUGCUCUAGGAACUCCAAAGUGGGGGAAAUGUUUUCUGACUGAGC
rnacentral:lncRNA from 1 species